rnacentral:lncRNA from 14 species
GGGAAAGGCUGGGGGCGCCCACGGUACCUGUGGGAGCUGUUUACUGCCUCUGUCGGAGCUCUUCACAAAUCACUUGGUUUGCCAUCCCUCCAGAGGAGAAUUGGAUGGAACUCCUCCAGCCUUGCUGUGCACAAGUCUUUGAGUUUCCGUGUAUUUAAUUAAGUGGAUUAUCAAGUUGGCUUGAAAAAAAGCCAAAGCAAAAACUCUCCACAGCCCAG